rnacentral:rRNA from 1 species
UAGCGAAGGGGGCUAGCGUUGCUCGGAAUCACUGGGCGUAAAGCGCACGUAGGCGGCUUUCUAAGGUCGGGGGUGGAAAUCCUGGAGCUCAACUCCAGUAACUGCCUUCGAUACUGGAAAGCUCGAGUCCGGGAGAGGUGAGUGGAACUGCGAGUGUAGAGGUGAAAUUCGUAGAUAUUCGCAAGAACACCAGUGGCGAAGGCGGCUCACUGGCCCGGUACUGACGCUGAGGUGACGAAAGGCGUGGGGAGCAAACAGG